AUAGACUAUAGUGGUGAAAACAUGUCUGAUAUGGUUGUAUGAAGUGGCAUUGCCAUUGGACUGUAGUGUCAAAACUUUGAAUUGUCAUUGGACUGAAGUGUUAAAUAUUGGACUCUGAAUGUGAUUUGUUCGAGGGCAUUACAUUACAUUACAUUACAUUACUUAAACUAGAUAGCUAAGCCUGACAAUUGUUUGAUGUAAUACCUGGUUGCGGCGG